rnacentral:rRNA from 1 species
CCUACGGGAGGCAGCAGUGGGGAAUAUUGCACAAUGGGGGGAACCCUGAUGCAGCGACGCCGCGUGGGUGAAGAAGCGCCUCGGCGCGUAAAGCCCUGUCAGCAGGGAAGAAAAUGACGGUACCUGAAGCAGAAGCCCCGGCUCACUACGUGCCAGCAGCCGCGGUGAUACGUAGGGGGCAAGCGUUAUCCGGAUUUACUGGGGGUAAAGGGGGCGCAGACGGCGAUGCAAGCCAGGAGUGAAAGCCCGGGGCCCAACCCCGGGACUGCUCUUGGAACUGCGUGGCUGGAGUGCAGGAGGGGGAGGCGGAAUGCCUGGUGUAGCGGUGAAAUGCGUAGAUAUCAGGAGGAACACCGGUGGCGAAGGCGGCCUGCUGGACUGCAACUGACGUUGAGGCCCGAAAGCGUGGGGAGCAAACAGGAUUAGAUACCCGUGUAGUC